GCUACGGACUGAAAAUCCGUUGGCUUUUUAGACCGUGAGGGUUCAAGUCCCUCUACCCCCA
rnacentral:tRNA from 31 species